rnacentral:lncRNA from 1 species
GUGAUGUCACACAGUUGUAUGCAACUAAACUACCAUGGAUACAGAGUAGAGAAAGGUGGUUGGAAGUUGUUCCCACACUUAGUAUAUCAGGAACUUCUUUCCCAUGCUUUAGUGCUCUAUCACAGCAAGACAAACUAGAAAGAAUCCCUAAAUGGUCAGUGGAAAUGAUGCACCCAAACAUCUACUGCAGCUCAGAAGAGGAUAUGGGAGCCCGGUUUCAAUAGUGACUCAACCUCAUCUUGAACUGCAUCAUACUCUAUGGCCAUUCACUUGACUGAGGCUAGCAGAGCCUUUUUCCUUUGCCUGAACUGUGCUUCACUGAAAUGUGUCUUCAUUUCAACAUAUGAAUAAAGAUCACUAUAUGGGAUUUGCAGAGAAGUAGCUAUUCCAUGAACUUCAGUGUAACCAAGAACAUAGCAUUAAUACAUAAGAAACCAUGCUAGAUACAAUGUAUUUAAGACAAAUGAAAUAAAAGCAGCAUUUAGAUGCCAAACACCGAAUCAUUCAGGGGAGUUGGAUUUCCUGGGUGUAUGAGAGCUUGCCUGCUUGAACCCACAGCAAUAUUCGUGAAGAGCUGUCCUGGUAGUUAGUUCCAAUACAGUAGUUCCUAAGGACCUGUUGAAAUUUGUCCAGAGGACAAUUUGUUUCUGGCAUCCAAAUCAUUUUUGCUUUAUGGUGCCUGUAUUUUAUGGCUCUUCUACCUCUUCCUUUGUAAUUGGUUUGUCAAUGUACCUUUUAAUUUGCUGAUAACUAUCUACAGUGGGUUUGGGAACAAACAAACCCUUUUAACAAGGCUGCCAUGUCAACAGUCCAACAAAUUAACCCCAACUAAGUCUAUGAGUUUUUCCUCCUG